AAUAGCAUUCUUUGCCCCACCCUUUAAAUUGCCAUUUAGAGUACGGUAGGAAUGCUGAGAGAUUACUUUUUUUUUUUCAUUUUUACCCUUAUUUUUCAUGGUCAUCCUUUCUGCUGUUUCAACUACAGCCUUUACGUUCAUUACCUUUUCCAUUUAUAAAGCCCUAAACACCAUUGCCCCUCACCAAUUUUUACAAUCUUUUCCUCGUAGGAAUCGAGAUCGUAGAAAUUUCCCAAUUAAGGGAAAAAUCUUCAGCAAGGAAAAAAAAUCCAAACUCAAUUGAAGAACACAUUAGCGUCUGGUUUUGAUUUCAAAGUGAUUCAAGACAAGAGAAGGAGUUUGGUCGAAGCAUGGGUGAAAUUUUUGAGAAUUUUGAUGUAAAUCCUCUGGGUUCGGCAUCGAUCGCAUAGUUUUGCAGGGUUCUCAGGUUCCAGAAAUAGAAUAAUGCUUACAAAAACCGAGUGGAUAUACCUUAACAUGUGUUCGUAUCUGAAUUAGGUUCAUCAAACAAGAUUGAGAGGUGAUAAGAACGAUGUUGUUGUUAAGGUGCAACAUUUAGGAAUCCAGGAUCUUAUGAUGAUUGACAUUCGUAACUUGCAAGCGUUUGUACUGUACAUUCAAAAGACUAAUAUCAAAUUUGAUCUGUUUUCCAUUACUAAGGAAAUGGAAAAAUAGGUAUUUGUAUUCACACUGUUGUUCCUUGCAAAACACAUCUAUCCUUCUUUUAUGUAUUUUCCAGAUUAUAUAAAUUGAGAGUAUCGUACCACUCGGAUUUUGAUUUC